AGUGCCCUGGGCCCUUCAGCAACCUCUACAGGCGGCUGCUGGUGCUGCUCUGGGGUGGGCUGGGGGUGCAUCCUCCAGCGGAGGUGGGAACAGCUGGAACCUCCAGGGCUCCCACGUGCAGCUCUCAGGGCAUACACAGUCCAGGACCUGCUGCAAUGCUGGCAGCACAAGCACCAGCUAUGGGAACUCCAACAGCGUCUGCCUGGCCCCCUCCAUGAUGUCCAAGGCCAAGGAGGCUAAGAACUGGCGGGACACGGGGUGGUGGAGAACCACAUGAGGAAUAACCAAGUGCUGGGAACUGGAAGUGAUUCUACAAGUGUCCAUGCUGUGCAGCGAGUAGCUGAAAGGUGAAGCAGGAGAUUCUGACCUGGUCUGCGUUCCCACUUCCCUCCAGGCCUGUCAGCUUCUUUCCCGUCAUCAGGAAAGAUUCAAAGAACCCUGGGGAUCAGUGGCACAAGGGAAUCCCAGUGGCCUUCGUCCCAGUGAGCUGAGCUAUGAGCCAGAAGUUUACAGGUGUGGUUGAAUUCCAAAUGGCUGUCAACAAGGCAGGUCCAGUGGUGACAGAUAAUGGGAAUUUUAUCUUGGACUGGAAGUUUGACCAGGUACAUAAAUGGGGUGAAGUGAACAGAGCUGCCAGAAUGGUCCCACGUGUGGUGGACACAGGCCUGUUCAUCCACAUGGCUGAGAGAGCCUACUUCAGGAUGCAGGAUGGCUCAGUGAACAGGAGGGAACAGCCUUUCUG
rnacentral:lncRNA from 1 species